CAGAACGAAUCCUGGCGGCGCGUCUUAAGCAUGCAAGUCGGGCGGCAAGGGGGAUUUAUCCCCCCUAGAGCGGCGGACUGGUGAGUCACGCGUGGGCAACCUGCCUCCGGGAUGGGGAUAGCCGGCAGAAACGCCGGGUAAUACCGAAUAGUGCCGCGGGACGAUGGAUUCGCGGUGAAAGGAGCGUCUGCUCCGUCCGGGGAUGGGCCCGCGUCCCAUUAGCUAGUUGGAGGGGUAAAGGCCCGCCAAGGCGAUGAUGGGUAGCCGGCCUGAGAGGGCGAACGGCCACACUGGGAUUGAGAUACGGCCCAGACUCCUGCGGGAGGCAGCAGCUAAGAAUAUUCCGCAAUGGGCGAAAGCCUGACGGAGCGACGCCGCGUGGACGAGGAAGGCCGGAAGGUUGUAAAGUCCUUUUGCCGCCGGAGAAUAACCCGGGAGGAAAUGCCCGAGGGUUGACG
rnacentral:rRNA from 1 species